rnacentral:rRNA from 1 species
UGGGAAUUUGGACAAUGGGCGAAAGCCUGAUCCAGCAAUGCCGCGUGUGUGAAGAAGGCCUUCGGGUUGUAAAGCACUUUUGUCCGGAAAGAAAUCCUUGGCUCUAAUACAGUCGGGGGAUGACGGUACCGGAAGAAUAAGCACCGGCUAACUACGUGCCAGCAGCCGCGGUAAUACGUAGGGUGCAAGCGUUAAUCGGAAUUACUGGGCGUAAAGCGUGCGCAGGCGGUUUGCUAAGACCGAUGUGAAAUCCCCGGGCUCAACCUGGGAACUGCAUUGGUGACUGGCAGGCUAGAGUAUGGCAGAGGGGGUAGAAUUCCACGUGUAGCAGUGAAAUGCGUAGAGAUGUGGAGGAAUACCGAUGGCGAAGGCAGCCCCCUGGGCCAAGUACUGACGCUCAUGCACGAAAAGCGUGGGGAGCAAACAGGAUUAGAUACCCUGGUAGUCCACGCCCUAAACGAUGUCAACUAGUUGUUGGGGGAAUUCAUUUCCUUAGUAACGUAGCUAACGCGUNAAGUUGACCGCCUGGGGAGUACGGUCGCAAGAUUAAAAACUUAAAU